rnacentral:rRNA from 1 species
UACGGGGGGGGCAAGCGUUGUUCGGAAUUAUUGGGCGUAAAGGGCCAGUAGGCGGCCAACUAAGUCCGACGUGAAAUCCCCAGGCUUAACCUGGGAACUGCGUCGGAUACUGGAUGGCUUGAAUUCGGGAGAGGGAUGCAGAAUUCCAGGUGUAGCGGUGAAAUGCGUAGAUAUCUGGAGGAACACCGGUGGCGAAGGCGGCAUCCUGGACCGACACUGACACUGAGGAGCGAAAGCCAGGGAGCAAACGGG